GGGAUUUCCUUGGUUGGUUUCCAUAGCUUGAUAGACCAAAAACAAAAACACGGCCACAAGGGCAAACAGCAACAUUUUUAUCCACAUGGGAACGGAGCGUCUCUUCUUUGUCUUUUCUGACUUGACAUCUGCCAAGGGAGCAUACUUCGGGACGUACUUAGAUGAGAACGACUCUUCCAUCCUGAAGUCACUGAGCUCGAGCGGCCGGCCUGCAGCACCUUUGAUUGGUCUGCGGCAGCUAGCACUGUUCAAAGUGAAACAGAAUUCCAGAUGAUUCAAGUCAACAACCAAACCUUAGUGUGAUUUCUAAGCACACUGCAAAAUGCGGCAGCAGAAAAUCGUCAGAUAAAAGCAGGGGAUUGACAUAUCACAUGCUUUUCUUUCUUUUCUUUGUUUGUUUUCCGAGACAAGGUUUCUGUGUACCCCUGGCUGUCCUGGAACUCAAAUCUGUAGACCAGGGCUGUUAUAGAGCAACCAUGUUUCCAAUACUCCAAAAAGUUAGCUGUAUCAUAUUAUAAAAUAGUAUUUAGGAUAAAUACUCUCUAAGCCUGUCUUCGAGGCUGAGUAGUGUACUGUGUGCCUGUGAUCGCAGCACUUGGGAAGUGUGUCAUAAGUCUAACAUAUGCCUUGCAUACAGGGUAAAUCCAAGAGCAGCCCGGUGACUUGAGAACUUGUCUCAAAAAAAGAAAAAAUAAAACUU
rnacentral:lncRNA from 1 species